CUAAUACGCAGGCCGCGGAAGAACUUCAAUAACAGUCUGUUUUUGGUCUUUCCGUGGUGUGUAUUUGCCCUGAUCCGUGCGGAUUAAGCGAAAAUCGAGUUGGACCAGCGACGAGCGGCCCACAAACAAUUCUAGUCACGCGUGUCGCGGAGCCCAGCGGUAAACAAAAAGCACGCCCCACCCCGCGUUCGGUUCGCCCGCCCCCCGCAAUCAAAACAACAAAAGCACAUACACGCAAGGCCACGGCGGAGCGACAGCAACAACAACAAUGGAGGAACUGAACAGCAUAUUGCAAAAGACCAAAGAUAAAUCAACGCUAAAGGAGCAGGAUGAGAUUCUGCUGCAGCCCUUCACAUACAUACAACAGAUUCCUGGCAAACAAUUCCGCUCCGAGUUGGCCUUGGCCUUCAAUCACUGGUUGCUCAUACCGGGCGAAAAGUUGGCGCAGAUCGGGGACAUUGUGCAGAUGCUGCACAAUUCCAGUUUACUCAUUGAUGAUAUUGAAGACAAUUCGAUCCUUCGCAGAGGUGUGCCCGUGGCGCAUUCCAUAUACGGCGUGGCCAGCACCAUAAAUGCGGCUAACUAUGCUUUGUUCCUGGCGCUGGAGAAGGUGCAACAGCUGGAUCACCCGGAGGCCACCAAGGUGUACACGGAACAGUUGCUGGAGCUGCAUCGUGGACAGGGCAUGGAGAUCUAUUGGCGCGACAGCUUCACGUGUCCCUCGGAGUCCGAUUACAAGCUAAUGACUGUGCGCAAAACCGGCGGCCUCUUCAUGCUGGCCAUCCGCCUGAUGCAGCUGUUUAGCUCGAAUAAAGAGGACUACUCCAAGUUGACGGCUAUUCUGGGCCUGUACUUCCAGAUACGCGACGAUUACUGCAACCUGAGUUUGAAAGAGUACACGGAAAACAAGAGCUUCGCUGAGGAUUUGACAGAGGGCAAGUUCGGUUUCCCAGUAAUCCAUGCGGUUCGCACCCAGAAGCAGGAUAAACAGGUUUUGCACAUAUUACGCCAGCGCACGCACGACAUUGAGGUCAAGAAGUACUGCAUCACCUUGCUGGAAAAGCUGGGCAGCUUUCAGUAUACACGCAAGGUUCUGGAGACGCUGGAUGCGGAGGCGCGGGCGGAGGUAACUCGGCUGGGCAACAAUCCCUUCAUGGACCACCUCCUCAACAAGCUGCUGUCGUGGAAGACGAGCGACAGCGCCAGCAUCACGCAGUCGAACCAGAUCAAUCACAACAACGUCUCACGCAGCAGCCCCAACCAGAACACGCUCAAUUGCAAUUAGCAGCCAAAGAGGCAAAAGAGGGAGCAGUCGUGAAUUGCGAACGGCAGAGCCUCUUUUGCCGCCAAUCCGAGACAGCAGCAGCAGGAGGCCACCGCCUGCCUCAGUGCGCCGUUGUUGCGUUUCCUGCAGAAGCUGAAGAUAUUCUGAGAUUUAUGUUCCCCUUGGCCAACCGGAAAAAACCCACAGAGAACCCUUUAUUUUCAACCAAAACUAGAGCGAUGAGAACGGAAAUGUAUGGAUAAAUUUAGAGGAAUGUAAUGGAAACAGAAAGCACAGGGAUGGAAAAGAAAACCAACAGCAGCCUUACACAGAGAAUUGUUAAGCCAAAAUUAUACACUUGAAAAAAAACGGCAAGAGAAACCACAUCAAAAAGAACAAGAGGAGUAACCAGAUUGCUGAAGAGAAUACGAAAACAAAUUGUAAACUAUGCGAACAUUUUAUGGUAGGAACGACAACUAAUAGCCGAGAAUUUACAGUGCACGCCCAGAUGCAGCUAAACGCAAGCGCACCUAACAUUUUGCCCAUAUACCACUAAUGAAAGCAUUGAAAUAUAUGUAUAUGUAUUUAAAUA